rnacentral:lncRNA from 1 species
UCAAUUAUUUCAUUAGACGUCAUUUUGUGCACAUGCUUCAACUGUUCCUCACUAGAAGCAUUGAUCCAAAGAAAAUUACACACUUCAACAGAAAUUCCUCACUAGAAGCACUGACCCAAAAAAACCGCAAGGAAAAUUACACACUUCAAUAGAAAUUCCUCACUAGGAGCACUGAUCCAAAGAAAGCGACAAAGAAAAUUACACAUUUCAAUAGAAAUUUUUUGACUGCUCAUACAAGUACAAUCAAUACUUCCUUCGUCUCCUUAUUACUCUUCUCUGUUGCCUUAUCUAGCUUACACACUUGUUUCUUCUGUGCCUCCUCAAACUUGGACAUUGCGGCCUCUUCAAUCUCAUGUCUAAUAACUAGUGCACCAACAUCUAAUAGAUCUCUCUUUAUCAAUAUAUAUCAUUGUAUUAUUCUUCCCAAAAUUAAGCAAACAACGAGCACAGAUUAUAGGUGAACUGAAGCACAAGUGCACUCACUUUGCCCAUUUUGCACUUGAAAAAACCCAUCCGGGAUGGCCUAUCGCCUCUGAGACCCGACGCAGCACCGGCCGCCAACAGUCAUCUCACUUGAUGAUCGAUGAAGGCACACCGAUGAGCUGCUGGGCUAGAGCCAAGCCAGUCGACCUGCCAACGAGGAUACAUCAGCGGUCGGACAACGAUGCGAGCGACGAGAGGAGGAAAACAUACCAAGAGGCGGCGUGGUGAGCUCCGGGUGGCUGUGUGGUUUGGUUUCUGACGUUCCUCGACGAAAUACAAUGGCGCCGGGGCAUAGGUGUGUCGAAUCCGGCGACGGAGGUGACGAGCGUAGGUGCAUCGAACUCGGCAGCGCAGGGACGACCGGCAACUGAAUCGAAGUGAGCGGAGGAGCGGCGGGGCUACUACAGUGG